rnacentral:rRNA from 1 species
AACGAACGCUGGCGGCAGGCUUAACACAUGCAAGUCGAACGCAUCCUUCGGGGUGAGUGGCAGACGGGUGAGUAACGCGUGGGAACGUGCCCUUCAGUUCGGGAUAACCCAGGGAAACUUGGGCUAAUACCGGAUACGUGCGAGAGCAGAAAGAUUUAUCGCAGAAGGAUCGGCCCGCGUCUGAUUAGCUAGUUGGUGGGGUAAUGGCCCACCAAGGCGACGAUCAGUAGCUGGUCUGAGAGGAUGAUCAGCCACAUUGGGACUGAGACACGGCCCAAACUCCUACGGGAGGCAGCAGUGGGGAAUAUUGGACAAUGGGCGCAAGCCUGAUCCAGCCAUGCCGCGUGAGUGAUGAAGGCCUUAGGGUUGUAAGGCUCUUUCGUCCGGGACGAUAAUGACGGUACCGGAAGAAGAAGCCCCGGCUAACUUCGUGCCAGCAGCCGCAGUAA